rnacentral:ncRNA from 1 species
AUAGUAGAAUAUCCCAUCGAACUGUUCUACUGCCUGGCGUUGAUCAAUACUGAUAACCGGUAUUCCAUUACCAAAUACUUCUUAGCGACCGAUAGCGAACCAGUACCGUGAGGGAAAGGUGAAAAGCACCUCGGAAGAGGAGUGAAAGAGAACCUGAAACCGUGCGCUUACAAGCAGUUAUAG